UGACCUCAAAUCAGGUAGGGAUACCCGCUGAACUUAAGCAUAUCAAUAAGCGGAGGAAAAGAAACCAACAGGGAUUGCCUCAGUAACGGCGAGUGAAGCGGCAAAAGCUCAGAUUUGAAAUCUGGUGUAGUAAUCGACACCCGAGUUGUAAUCUGUAGAGGAGUUUUCGGAGAAUGACUUUGGUUAAAGUUCCUUGGAAAAGGGCAUCAUAGAGGGUGAGAAUCCUGUUUAUGACCUUUGUACUUCUCUAUUAUGAAUCUCCUUCAAUGAGUCGAGUUGUUUGGGAAUGCAGCUCUAAAUGGGUGGUAAAUUCCAUCUAAAGCUAAAUAUUGGCAAGAGACCGAUAGCGCACAAGUAGAGUGAUCGAAAGAUGAAAAGAACUCUGAACAGAGAGUUAAAGAGUACGUGAAAUUGUUGAAAGGGAAGCACUUGUGACCAGACAAAUUUGCAAUUAAUCAGCCAUCAGUUUUGGUGGUGCACUUGAUUGUAGAUGGGUCAGCAUCAGUUAUAGCAGUGGGACAAAGAUCAAAAGAAUGUAGCUCCUCAUUGAGGAGUGUUAUAGCUUUUGGUUUAAUACCGCUUGCCAUGACUGAGGAUAGCACU
rnacentral:rRNA from 1 species